AAUCUUCCGCAAUGGACGAAAGUCUGACGGAGCAACGCCGCGUGAGUGAUGAAGGUCUUCGGAUCGUAAAACUCUGUUGUUAGGGAAGAACAAGUAUCGUUCGAAUAGGGCGAUACCUUGACGGUACCUAACCAGAAAGCCACGGCUAACUACGUGCCAGCAGCCGGGGUAAUACGUAGGUGGCAAGCGUUAUCCGGAAUUAUUGGGCGUAAAGCGCGCGCAGGCGGUUUCUUAAGUCUGAUGUGAAAUCUUACAGCUUAACUGUAAGCGGUCAUUGGAAACUGGGAGGCUUGAGUGCAGAAGAGGAGAGUGGAAUUCCAUGUGUAGCGGUGAAAUGCGUAGAGAUAUGGAGGAACACCAGUGGCGAAGGCGACUCUCUGGUCUGUAACUGACGCUGAGGCGCGAAAGCGUGGGGAUCAAACA
rnacentral:rRNA from 1 species